GGGGGAAAGAUUUAUCGCCAAAGGAUUAGCCCGCGUUAGAUUAGGUAGUUGGUGGGGUAAUGGCCUACCAAGCCUACGAUCUAUAGCUGGUUUUAGAGGAUGAUCAGCAACACUGGGACUGAGACACGGCCCARACUCCUACGGGAGGCAGCAGUGGGGAAUCUUGGACAAUGGGGGCAACCCUGAUCCAGCCAUGCCGCGUGAGUGAUGAAGGCCUUAGGGUCGUAAAGCUCUUUCGCCUGUGAAGAUAAUGACGGUAGCAGGUAAAGAAACCCCGGCUAACUCCGUGCCAGCAGCCGCGGUAAUACGGAGGGGGUUAGCGUUGUUCGGAAUUACUGGGCGUAAAGCGCACGUAGGCGGACUGGAAAGUUGGGGGUGAAAUCCCAGGGCUCAACCCUGGAACUGCCUCCAAAACUAUCAGUCUAGAGUUCGAGAGAGGUGAGUGGAAUUCCGAGUGUAGAGGUGAAAUUCGUAGAUAUUCGGAGGAACACCAGUGGCGAAGGCGGCUCACUGGCUCGAUACUGACGCUGAGGUGCGAAAGUGUGGGGAGCAAACAGGAUUAGAUACCCUGGUAGUCCACACCGUAAACGAUGAAUGCCAGUCGUCGGGUAGCAUGCUAUUCGGUGACACACCUAACGGAUUAAGCAUUCCGCCUGGGGAGUACGGUCGCAAGAUUAAAACUCAAAGGAAUUGACGGGGGCCCGCACAAGCGGUGGAGCAUG
rnacentral:rRNA from 1 species